rnacentral:hammerhead_ribozyme from 1 species
AUCCAGUUGACGAGUUCUAGACAGGACGAAAUGUGCAUCCUGGAU